AUCAAUCGUAGUCCAAAAAUAUCAAAGUCGAAAUCGUUUUAAUCUGAUCCAUUUACAUCUUGCCCAGCAUAGUCACGAAAGUUAUCCAAACAAAAUUUAGCCAGAACCUUAUGAACCGUUAUUUCUCUGAUUUUCUGUUUCGUGAUUCGAAGAAUGAAAUGUGUAGCCCGUAUAGUCGAUCCAUUAUACAUCGCUAAAAUCCUAAAAUCAAAAUAUCAUUUAAAUUGAUCCAUUUUAGUCCCGUUUAUUUCUUAAAUUUGGUUAGUAGUGUAUUCCCUAAUUAAAAGAAAGAAAAGGGAGAAAAGGAAAAUUAUCUCGUUGAAAAAUAUCCUCUCCACCGCUUGGACUUCAGCCUCAUUCCGUCAGGGCCGUAGGCCAUCGGCAUUAUUCAAUUGCACCCUGGAGCCGUUGUCCUCAUCCUCUCAGCCGCUAGCUCCGCCUCCUCUCCUCUUCCCGUCAAGUGUACCUGCUGAGCUCAUCCAUGGCCGCCGUCGAUUCUCCAUGGACGGUCUCACGUGCCCUCCCCAUGUCAGCUCGCUCGGUCUCCAGCGCCCGGCCCCAGCUCGGAUCUCAUCCUUCAGCCAUGGAUGUCGGCGCCGCGCCCAGCUCCUCAUCAUGCCGCUCCCUGGGAGUCGUCUAGCCGCGCCCCUGUUCUUUUGGUUGGUGCUCGCGUCCAGCCAUGGACAUCGGCGAGCUCACCCUGGGUUCCACCGGCACUGACCCUGCUCUUCUCUCCCUCAUCUCUGCGACUCGGCGCCUCCUCUGCUCCUCCACCUACAGCUCGCCCCAUCUCCCUGGUGUCGAGCUCGUCCUCCACCUUGCCCAUGGCGCCCGCCCUCCCCAGGUCCGCGCUCUAGAUCUCCCAGUCGAGCUCCCUUCGUCGCGCCCUUCCUUGCUCCUGCUCUGGUCGCCGUCGCCGAGUCCGACCCCAAGCCGUCGAAGCAGCAGCCAUGGCUUUCAGUGCUCGUUUUGGCCACCUCCUCUGCCUCCGAUCCGCGGCGCCGUCGUGGGCUCGCCCCAGCCCUAUAGUCGCCAGUCGUCGUCGCCCUGCCCCUCUGCACGCCAGCGUCCUCUUCCUCAGCUCACCCCGUCAGCCGUCGCGGUGCUCGUUUGGGACCCACCUCUCGCCGGUCGCGCACACCUUGACGUCAUCGGCAAGCAGUCCGUGGCUAAUUCCUUUCCUGUGCCCAUGACUUGGAUCUUCUCUUGCUUGCAGUCGUCGAGGAAGACCCCACCAGUCCCCGCGCCAUCCUUUGCCUCCUUGUCGUGCGCCAUCAGGCAUCAGCCGUGCCUCUUCGGCUCUCUCUGGCUGCCCGGUCGUCAGUUCUUGUGCCGUCGAGGAGCCAUCAGCAUUGUCAUCGGUCCAACAACGUUGUCACGUCUUGCGUUCGCGCUGGAAGAUGAAAGGGAAAAGCUAGAGCAACACUCAUCAAAUAUCGGUGGUAUGCGUGAGCCGUAGGAUUUAGCUUAGGUGAGAUAUUUCGCUAUUCCUGCUAAUUAAUUUGAUUGAUGAGUUGAUUUGAUGGUGAUUGAUGAUUUCCAUGUUUUCCAUAUAGAUGCACUGUGUAAUGCCUCGUUUCAUACAGAGAUGGGAUUAUGUUCUUGUUUGCAAAGUAAACAUUUCAUGGGGCAAAACUUAAGUUUGAAAUGAAGUUUAUGCGGGAAUGUUUUAGUGGGUGGAUGCAUCUAGUGUGAUUAAGUUAGUCCUUUAAGUGUUAAGUAUGGGGUAUUUGUAUGUAAAUGAUAGGUUUGGUAUUUCAAAUGGUUAUCCGAUAAGUUCGGUUAUCGCUAAUUAAAUCAAAUGAAUCUUUUUAGUGAAGUUGAAGAACUGCUUAGUAAUUGUUACAAUCUAUUAUAUUGAUUGAUAAAAUGUCCUAGGUGAAUAAUUAUGAUGGUAUUAAGUGUUUAUUGAAAAGCCUCGUUAUUAUAGUUAUGAAAUGGUGUUCAAAGUGUUAAGUAGAUGCAUAGCUUAACAAGGUUUAGGUUUAAGACGUGGAUUAGGCGCGAAGUGCCUUGGUGGAUAUAUAGGUCUAGUGUAAUUGAAGUAAUCCCCUUUAUGCGAUACAAUUGCGUCCCCUUUAUACGAUACAAUUGCAUUCACGUGUCUGUUAUAAACAUUGUGUGUAUGUGAUGAAGUCGGUAAAUUGCUUUAUUAGUCAUCAUGUUCAAUGUUAGUGGCCGAGUAAGUGUCAUGGUUGGAUAUUACUUGAUUUUUCAAGUAUUUGGAAUCGAAUAACAUCGAUAGGUAUUUUAAGUGAAAUAUGAAAAUUUGCAUAAUAAAAGAUGGGUAUAAGCACUUUAGGUCUUUCAUUUCUAAAGUUGUAGUCGAGUAGACUUAUAUAAUGUUUAAUGAUGCUCUACUUACUAAACUAAGUAGCGUGAUGUUUUAAUUAGUGGUGGAUUACACAGGUUAGUCGGGAAAACUAGCUUAGAUAGUUAAUUAAAUAUGCUUCCUUACUCUGCAUUGUUGGUAUUCAAAAAUAGUGAAUCAAAGUUUGACGAGACAUUUGAUAUUGGGUGCUAGCUGAAGUUGACAUAGGACUUGUGCUUAGUUUAUUAUCACUUGUUGUUUGGAUUAUAUGCGGUUAAACUAGAAAACGUGAUUAUUGUACUUGGUUAUAUGUCGAUACCUAGCAUUUGCUUAUGAAAUGACGUAAUGCCUUACCAUUAAGUGUUUGAUUCUUUACUGUGUAACAUCGCAAUAUUAUCUUGCGAUAUUCGUCUUGAUAUUCAUACAUGUGCAUCGUGCAUCUCAUGAGGUACGCUAGUUGAUCACGUGAUGUGAAGAACAAGAACUGGAUUAAUCUCAAGGUGAUGUGGAUGAUGAACCUGAAGAUGGAUGACCUGAACAAGUGUUAGACCAAAAGUUUUUCGUCAAGUGGACGUCAUCUAACCAACACUAACCUAGUGUUAUUCCAGGUACUAGAUUUGUGCUGCUGAGGAUGGUGCUAAGCGCCGGUGGGCAUGGCCUUCUGAUAGGUCUAAGUAGCUCUUCUAUACUUCUUAUUGAGGAUGGUCACUUAAGCUAGCAUAUAUUUUAAACUUAUAAAUAAUUUUUAACAUUUCAAAGUAUAUUCUUUGAAUCAUUUUUUGUAAUCACUCCAAUAAAUAUAAUGUAAAUUUGUUGUAACUUUUAACUUUUUGUAAUAAAGAAAUUCCGCUGCAAAA